GUUUCCCAGUCACGAUAACUAAGCGAAAAGCUGCGGGGAUUCGCAAAUAGGAAUUGAUCCGCAGAUAUCCGAAUGGGGCAACCUGUCAUACUGAAGGUAUGACGCAAAAGCGCAAACCUGCUGAACUGAAACAUCUAAGUAGGCAGAGGAAGAGAAAACAAUAGUGAUUACGCAAGUAGUGGCGAGCGAACGCGUAAGAGCCCAAACCGGUUUUGUUACGGCAAGACCGGGGUUGUAGGACCGACAUAAAGAUGCAAGCACGAAGUUGAAGCUAUUGGGAAGUAGCACGACACAGGGUGAAAGUCCCGUAAACGUAAGUAACUGCAUUGGGUUGGGAUCCUGAGUACCGCGAGGUCGGAGACGCCUUGUGGGAAUCUACCAGCACCAUCUGGUAAGGCUAAAUACUACUGAGAGACCGAUAGUGAACCAGUACCGUGAGGGAAAGGUGAAAAGAACCCCGAACAGGGGAGUGAAAUAGAACCUGAAACCGUGUGCUUACAAGCGGUCGGAGCAGACAAGUUCUGUGACGGCGUGCCUUUUGCAUAAUGAGCCUACGAGUUACUCUUCUCUGGCAAGGUUAAGUGAUUAAGUCAUGGAGCCGAAGCGAAAGCGAGUCUGAAUAGGGCGUAUAGUCAGAGGAGGUAGACGCGAAACCUUGUGAUCUACCCUUGGGCAGGAUGAAGUGGCGGUAACACGCCAUGGAGGUCCGAACCGAUAAGCGUUGAAAAGCUUCCGGAUGACCUGAGGGUAGGGGUGAAAGGCUAAUCAAACUGGGAAAUAGCUCGUACUCCUCGAAAUGUUUUUAGGAACAGCCUGGCGGUUGAGUGUGGCAGAGGUAGAGCUACUAAUAGGACUAGGGGGAGUCAAAUCCUACCAAAUUCUGAUAAACUCCGAAUGCUGACCACAUAUACGCUGGAGUGAGGCCUUGGGUGCUAAGGUCCAAGGCCAAAAGGGAAAGAACCCAGACCAACAGCUAAGGUCCCCAAAUUACUACUAAGUUGAACUAACGAGGUCCGAUUGCAUAGACAGCUAGGAUGUUGGCUUGGAAGCAGCCAUUCAUUUAAAGAGUGCGUAACAGCUCACUAGUCGAGCGAUCGGGCAUGGAUAAUAAACGGGCAUCAAGUAGUAUACCGAAGCUUUGGAUUGCAGUAAUGCAGUGGUAGAGGAGCAUUCUAAUGGCAGUGAAGGUAUUUCGUCAGAAGUGCUGGAGCGAUUAGAAAAGCAAAUGUAGGCAUAAGUAACGAUAAGGCAGGCGAGAAACCUGCCCACCGAAAGACUAAGGUUUCCUGAUCAACGCUAAUCGGAUCAGGGUUAGUCGGGGCCUAAGGAGCAGCCGAACGGCGACAUCCGAUGGACAACUAGUUAAUAUUCUAGUACUUUCUAUGAUUGCGACGGAGAGACGGAGUAGUGAAAGAACCGCGAACUGACGGAAUAGUUCGUUAAAGCCAGUAGAUAAAGGUUUGGUAGGUAAAUCCGCCAGAACUGUCGAAGGUGAUAGUACCGCGAGGCUUCGGCUGAGUGGAUAGUGUUCCUAAUCAGACUUCCAAGAAAAUCUUCUAAGCUUCAGAUUAUAGAAACCCGUACCGUAAACCGACACAGGUAGUCGAGGAGAGAAUCCUAAGGUGCUCGAGUGAUUCAUGGCUAAGGAACUCGGCAAAAUGGCCCUGUAACUUCGGGAGAAGGGGCGCCUCUAGCAAUAGAGGCCGCAGUGAGAAGGUCUAGGCGACUGUUUAACAAAAACACAUGGCUUUGCUAAAUCGAAAGAUGAUGUAUAAGGCCUGACACCUGCCCGGUGCUGGAAGGUUAAGAGGGGAUGUUAGCGCAAGCGAAGCAUUGAAUCGAAGCCCCAGUAAACGGCGGCCGUAACUAUAACGGUCCUAAGGUAGCGAAAUUCCUUGUCGGGUAAGUUCCGACCUGCACGAAUGGUGUAACGAUCUGGGCACUGUCUCAACCAUGAGCUCGGUGAAAUUGUAGUCUCGGUGAAGAUGCCGAGUACCCGCAACGGGACGGAAAGACCCCGUGCACCUUUACUAUAGCUUUACAUUGGGUUUGGGUAAUUGAUGUGUAGAAUAGGUGGGAGGCUUUGAAGCGAUGUCGCUAGAUGUCGUGGAGCCAUCGUUGAAAUACCACCCUUCAAUUAUUUGAAUCCUAACUCCGCCACGCGGAGAACAGUGUAUGGUGGGUAGUUUGACUGGGGUGGUCGCCUCCAAAAGAGUAUCGGAGGCUUCCAAAGGUACACUCAGCACGCUUGGUAACCGUGCGUAGAGUGCAAUAGCAUAAGUGUGCUUGACUGUGAGACCUACAAGUCGAGCAGGAACGAAAGUUGGGUAUAGUGAUCCGGCGGUUCUGUAUGGAAAGGCCGUCGCUCAUAGGAUAAAAGGUACGCCGGGGAUAACAGGCUGAUUUUGCCCAAGAGCUCAUAUCGACGGCAAAGUUUGGCACCUCGAUGUCGGCUCGUCACAUCCUGGGGCUGGAGAAGGUCCCAAGGGUUGGGCUGUUCGCCCAUUAAAGUGGCACGCGAGCUGGGUUCAGAACGUCGUGAGACAGUUCGGUCCCUAUCUGUUGUGGGCGUUGGAAAAUUGAGAGAAUCUGACCUUAGUACGAGAGGACCGGGUUGGACGCACCUCUGGUGGAUCUGUUAUGGCGCCAGCUGUAUCGCAGAGUAGCUACGUGCGGAAUAGAUAAGCGCUGAAAGCAUCUAAGCGCGAAACUAGUCUCAAGAUGAGUUUUCCUUUAAGGGUCGUAGAAGACUACUACGUUGAUAGGCUACAGAUGUAAAUACAGUAAUGUAUGAGUCGAGUAGUACUAAUUACCCGUAGACUUACCUAC
rnacentral:rRNA from 1 species